rnacentral:rRNA from 1 species
CUUACCAUGCAGUCGAACGGUGAAAGAGGAGCUUGCUCCUCUGGAUCAGUGGCGAACGGGUGAGUAACACGUGAGUAACCUGCCCUUGACUCUGGGAUAACCUCGGGAAACCGAAGCUAAUACCGGAUACGACCCUCGGAGGCAUCUCCAGGGGGUGGAAAGAACUUCGGUCAAGGAUGGACUCGCGGCCUAUCAGGUAGUUGGUGAGGUAACGGCUCACCAAGCCGACGACGGGUAGCCGGCCUGAGAGGGUGACCGGCCACACUGGGACUGAGACACGGCCCAGACUCCUACGGGAGGCAGCAGUGGGGAAUAUUGCACAAUGGGCGCAAGCCUGAUGCAGCAACGCCGCGUGAGGGACGACGGCCUUCGGGUUGUAAACCUCUUUUAGUAGGGAAGAAGCGAAAGUGACGGUACCUGCAGAAAAAGCACCGGCUAACUACGUGCCAGCAGCCGCGGUAAUACGUAGGGUGCAAGCGUUGUCCGGAAUUAUUGGGCGUAAAGAGCUCGUAGGCGGUUUGUCGCGUCUGCUGUGAAAACCCGAGGCUCAACCUCGGGCCUGCAGUGGGUACGGGCAAACUAGAGUGCGGUAGGGGAGAAUGGAAUUCCUGGUGUAGCGGUGGAAUGCGCAGAUAUCAUGAGGAACACCGAUGGCGAAGGCAGUUCUCUGGGCCGUAACUGACGCUGAGGAGCGAAAGCGUGGGGAGCGAACAGGAUUAGAUACCCUGGUAGUCCACGCCGUAAACGUUGGGCGCUAGAUGUGGGGACCAUUCCACGGUUUCCGUGUCGCAGCUAACGCAUUAAGCGC